rnacentral:tRNA from 1 species
GCCGGAGUGGCGGAACUGGCAGACGCGCUCGCCUCAAAAGCGAGUGAGGUUAACCCUCAUGUCGGUUCGAAUCCGACCUUCGGCACCA